rnacentral:rRNA from 1 species
UACGUAGGGUGCGAGCGUUGUCCGGAAUUAUUGGGCGUAAGGAGCUCGUAGGCGGCUUGUCGCGUCGGAUGUGAAAGCCCGGGGCUUAACUCCGGGUCUGCAUUCGAUACGGGCAGGCUAGAGUUCGGUAGGGGAGAUCGGAAUUCCUGGUGUAGCGGUGAAAUGCGCAGAUAUCGGGAGGAACACCGGUGGCGAAGGCGGUUCUCUGGGCCUGACCUGACGCUGAGGAGCGAAAGCAUGGGGAGCGAACAGG